CUGUUGCCAGGCUACAAAGCACAGCCAAAGACCAGCUGCCAUUCAUUUUAGGAGACUGUAGUUGAACUAAGCAUGUGUGACCCAACUCAGUGUGCCGCAUGAACUGGCAGACAAUGUGUCUCCUGAGUCUUCCCUGCCUCGGAACAUCUGCCACCGUCCGUGUUGUCCCAGAGUCCUCCAGGUCAUUGCGGCUGAAGUUCUGUCAAUGAAGCUGCAAAUUCUUCUCCAGAUCAGAACAGUUGCUCUCAGUACUCAGAUACUCCUAGGACUUACAGUAGGAUUGAAUUGUAUACUAUAUGAAAGUAGGAAAUGAUGCAACAGUUAACACUAACAAGAAUAGAAACUCACCAAUCAAAGACAGAAAUGAAAUCAUUAAGGAUUAUGGUACAAAUGAAUAACAAAGAUGGUGUCAGAAAAUUGAAGCCCUUAGAUCGAUUCCUGAACAUGGAUCCCAACCUUAGACACAACUGACCAUCAGUGUUCCUGAAAAUAUGCCUAAUAAAAAACCCUAGUUUCAAAUGACCCUGACCAAAGCAACAGGAGGUCUCUAGGCCCAGAGACAAAAAAGAGAAGCUGAGUAGUGCUGAACAUAGCAAGAUAAAAUUGGGAAAAACAAGUUCAAUUACAAAUAAAAAAACAAGGACUACACAAGAAUAAACUAAAACCAACUGGACUGACUAGGAAAAAACUAACUAAAACAAAGGUAACCAGGAGAAAGGACCCGUUCACACUACAGCAUUUUUGAAUUCCGAAUAAAAUUAUGCUUGCACAUUUGCAGAAUUUGUGCUGCUAGGAAGCAGUAGUUUUUCAUGUGGAAUUGUACAGUGGAAAUAAUAGUCAGGAAAAAAGUCUCACUUUUGCAAUGUGGACUGCGCAGCAGAAUGCCAUUGAAAUCAAUGGGAGACUGGUUUCCUCUUGGAAAUUUUGGGCAGAGUUUCCAUCAUGUGAAUGUGCACUAAGAGAGUUAAACCAAUCAGGAACUCCAACUCCAAGCAAGCUCCAAGCUAAGCAGUAUGAUCUGCACUAGUCAAUAAGGUGUGAGGCAGUUGCAUAGCAACUUCCCCAAAGUAACCAAUAGGAAAAGACAUAAUAGCUGGUCAAUCCCUGUUGUUAAUGGCAGCAGAAAAUUGAUACUUAUAGUAGCUGUCCUUUACUGCUCAUGAAGCAAGCGCAUCAUCAUUUAACAAUCCGCGGGGCCCUUGUUUGUUAAGUCCCAGACAGCAAAGGGCGUACCAGUGACCCUAUUUUCUUUUUUUCUUUUCUUUUUUUUAAAUACAAACAUGCCACUCCUUUAGUAAAAAUGUUAUUCACCCCUUUUUCCAUUUUUCAAAAAACAAAUAUCAAAUAUUUGGUAUUGCCACAUGCAGAAAUGUCCAGACUAUUAAAAUAUAAUGCUUAAGAUUCCGUAUGGUAAAUGGCGUAAAUGUUAAUGAAUACAACUAAAACAAACUCCAAACUUGCUGAUUUUUCGUCACAUCACAUACCAGAAAAAAAAAUGAAACAAAAAGUGAUCAAAAGGUCAUAUAUGCGUAAAAGUAGUACGGAAAAACUACAGAUCACAGCGCAAAAGAUGUCCCCUCAUAAAGCCCCUAUACAAAAAAAUAAAAAAGUUAUAAGGGUCAGACUACAGCAUUCUGUUUCUAGGUAAACCUGAUUAAAAAUAGGUUUGACUCACUAUGAUCCAUGGUCCAGUUUCGGACAUCCGACAGGAUCUGGUAUACAGAGCUUCCCUGCCUUCAUCUUUCUGCUUUCAUAUGCCCGCCAAGCUCAUAAAUAUUUAUAGACCAUUUGCUCAUUUAAGCGCAAGGUGGGCGAGCAUGUAGGAGCAGAGAGGACGGAGGCAAGGAAGCUCUGUAUACCUGCUCCUACCUCCACAAUGCAGGGAGAUUAGCAUUGGAGCCUGUAUACAGCCUGGAUCUCCAGAGUCGUACUACGGAUCCAAGUGAGUUAUACCUCUUUCUAAUCAGGUUCACCCACACUAUAACCCUGUUUAUUGAGUUUAGUGCUGGGGAACAAGGUGUUUGAUUCACUUUAAGAAGUUAAUAUAAUUUUAUUUCCAAAUUCCAAUAUUGUUUAUGCGUUCUUACUAUGCCCCCUUUUAUUACAUCAAAUCCACCACCACCGUUCCUGAAAUAUAGGGAUUUACUAUUUAGUUGACUAUCUUUUUCCCUAAAUAGUUAGAUGGAACUUUAUUUGAAAAAGGAGUGCAAAUUCUAGGCUCAGUGGUUGGGAUUAGGGGGGUGAGGAGGUGUAAUUAUAAAGCUCCUAAUCACACCGCCUGAGACUGACAUUCACAGCCCAUUUUAAGAUAAAUUUCCUACCCAUCUGACUAUUAAAGUGGUUAUACAGGAGUAUAAGAUCAUUACAACUUGGCUUCAUUCACUUCAUUAAAACUGAGCUGCAAUACUAGAGACAACCUGAAUACAGUUAUGGUGCUCUUUUAAAAAAAAAAAAAUCUGCUUUUUCUAAUUCUGGAUAGCCCUUGUAAGUGUCCAAUACUUAUCAUCAGAUUGUGCUAAGUGCUCGUCAGAAGUUUCCCUAUAAAUAAAAGUCUACUGACCUGCUAACCAAAACGUAGAUGAAGUACUUGUCAUGUAUGGGCAGGGAAGGAGUGUAGCCCUGUUCUCACCCACUCCCCCUGACCCUGCCUACUUGCCUAUCCGCCCCAAAACAGUGGAUCGACAUCCACAGUGAUGGUCCCUUCCUAAAUAAGUGAAGGAAUUCACUGUCAACAAAAUAAACCACAAAAACAGACACAGGUUGGAAUACAGUCAGGAAGGACUCAAACUAACAGAAAUAAUAUAAAGCAAACACACACACUAAGACAAAGUCAGCUAGCCGAGUCUUUACCAGAAUAUGUCAAAGGUGUCAAAUCGCAAAUGCAAGAGAAAGGUCAGAAAGCCAAGCCGAAAAGUCAGGAAUACCAGAAGAUCAGGAAUACAAGAUAUAAUCCCUAGCCACUGGAGAUAACGUCUUUCGCAGGCAAGGUCUGAUACCACACUGAAGGUUUAUAUAGGCAGCUACACAGGUGAAAAGCCAACGAGGUCAGCUGACCAACCAGAAAGUUAGGUGUAGCCCAGCAACCAAAAUAACAAACUCUCUCAGGGAUGUUUAACCCUUCAGGUUCUUACAACACUAUACUUCUCUUUGUGGAAACCCUACAUUAAUUGUACUUCAGAUCGACAGAGUUUCAUGAACUUUAAGCAUUUUUAUGUGAAAAUAAUGCUGUAAUUGUAGGUUCAAAAAGCAUCUAGUAAUGUUUGUGGCAUUUACACAAUAUAUGUAUAAAAAG